rnacentral:rRNA from 1 species
GUAGUUAGCCGGGGCUUCCUCCUUGGGUACCGUCACUUUCUUCGUCCCCAAGGACAGAGGUUUACAAUCCGAAAACCUUCUUCCCUCACGCGGCGUUGCUGGGUCAGGCUUUCGCCCAUUGCCCAAUAUUCCCCACUGCUGCCUCCCGUAGGAGUUUGGACCGUCUCUCAGUUCCAAUGUGGCCGAUCAGCCUCUCAGCUCGGCUACCCAUCGUCGACUUGGUGGGCCGUUACCCCGCCAACUAUCUAAUGGGACGCGAACCCCUCCUUCUGCGGAUUGCUCCUUUGACCUCAUCCCGAUGCCGGGUCGUGGUCUUAUGCGGUAUUAGCACUUGUUUCCAGGUGUUAUCCCCCUCAAAAGGUCAGGUUGUUCACGCGUUACUCACCCGUUCGCCACUAAGUAUAAAACCCGAAAUUCUAUACCCCGUUCGACUUGCAUGUGUUAGGCACGCCGCCAGCGUUCGUCCUGAGCCAUGAUCAAACUCUGA